GCCAGAGUGGUAUAGUGGUUUGAGCGUUGGAUCAGGACACUGGAAGACCAGGGUUCGAAUCCCUGCUUGGCCA